rnacentral:rRNA from 1 species
UACAGAGGGUGCGAGCGUUGUUCGGAAUUAUUGGGCGUAAAGCGCUGGUAGGUGGCUUGUUAAGUCGCGUGUGAAAGCUCCAGGCUCAACCUGGAAAGUGCGCGCGAAACUGGCGAGCUUGAAUACCGGAGAGGAUGGCGGAAUUCCCCAAGUAGAGGUGAAAUUCGUAGAUAUGGGGAGGAACACCGGUGGCGAAGGCGGCCAUCUGGACGGCUAUUGACGCUGAGACGCGAAAGCGUGGGGAGCAAACAGG